rnacentral:rRNA from 1 species
GAUGAACGCUGGCGGCGUGCCUAAUACAUGCAAGUCGAGCGAACAGACGAGGAGCUUGCUCCUCUGACGUUAGCGGCGGACGGGUGAGUAACACGUGGAUAACCUACCUAUAAGACUGGGAUAACUUCGGGAAACCGGAGCUAAUACCGGAUAAUAUAUUGAACCGCAUGGUUCAAUAGUGAAAGACGGUUUUGCUGUCACUUAUAGAUGGAUCCGCGCCGCAUUAGCUAGUUGGUAAGGUAACGGCUUACCAAGGCAACGAUGCGUAGCCGACCUGAGAGGGUGAUCGGCCACACUGGAACUGAGACACGGUCCACACUCCUACGGGAGGCAGCAGUAGGGAAUCUUCCGCAAAGGGCGAAAGCCUGACGGAGCAACGCCGCGUGAGUGAUGAAGGUCUUCGGAUCGUAAAACUCUGUUAUUAGGGAAGAACAAAUGUGUAAGUAACUAUGCACGUCUUGACGGUACCUAAUCAGAAAGCCACGGCUAACUACGUG